UACGAAGGGGGCUAGCGUUGUUCGGAAUUACUGGGCGUAAAGCGCACGUAGGCGGAUAUUUAAGUCAGGGGUGAAAUCCUGGAGCUCAACUCCAGAACUGCCUUUGAUACUGAAGAUCUUGAGUCCGGGAGAGGUGAGUGGAACUGCGAGUGUAGAGGUGAAAUUCGUAGAUAUUCGCAAGAACACCAGUGGCGAAGGCGGCUCACUGGCCCGGUACUGACGCUGAGGUGCGAAAGCGUGGGGAGCAAACAGG
rnacentral:rRNA from 1 species